AGAGUUUGAUCCUGGCUCAGGACGAACGCUGGCGGCAGGCCUAACACAUGCAAGUCGAGCGGUAACAGGGGAAGCUUGCUUCUCGCUGACGAGCGGCGGACGGGUGAGUAAUGUCUGGGAAACUGCCUGAUGGAGGGGGAUAACUACUGGAAACGGUAGCUAAUACCGCAUAACGUCGCAAGACCAAAGAGGGGGACCUUCGGGCCUCGCACCAUCAGAUGAACCCAUAUGGGAUUAGCUAGUAGGUAAGGUAACGGCUUACCUAGGCGACGAUCCCUAGCUGGUCUGAGAGGAUGAUCAGCCACACUGGGACUGAGACACGGCCCAGACUCCUACGGGAGGCAGCAGUGGGGAAUAUUGCACAAUGGGCGCAAGCCUGAUGCAGCCAUGCCGCGUGUAUGAAGAAGGCCUUAGGGUUGUAAAGUACUUUCAGUUGGGAGGAAGGCGUUGAUGCUAAUAUCAUCAACGAUUGACGUUACCAACAGAAGAAGCACCGGCUAACUCCGUGCCAGCAGCCGCGGUAAUAC
rnacentral:rRNA from 1 species